GAUUUCAACUGAAAAAGUUAUCAACAACAAAGUUGAAUAACUCAUCAAGAUCUAAAACUUUUAUUUUGAUCAUUUCUUCAUCCGACAAAGUGAUACUAACAUUAUUCAUAAAAUUGACGCAUCUUAUCUGGUUUUAUAAACUAUAACACAUAUAUGUAAAAUUUAUGAACAAUGUUACUAACACUUUAUCGGACAAAAAAAUGACAAAAAUAAAAGUUUUAGAUCUCGAUGAGUUAUACAAUUUUGUUGUUGAUGACUUUUUCAAUUGAAAUC
rnacentral:pre_miRNA from 1 species